UACGUAGGUGGCGAGCGUUGUCCGGAAUUACUGGGCGUAAAGGGCGCGUAGGCGGCAGCCUAAGUCAGAUGUGAAAACCCGGGGCUUAACUCCGGGCGUGCAUUUGAAACUGGGCUGCUAGAGUGCAGGAGAGGAAAGCGGAAUUCCUAGUGUAGCGGUGAAAUGCGUAGAUAUUAGGAGGAACACCAGUGGCGAAGGCGGCUUUCUGGACUGUAACUGACGCUGAGGCGCGAAAGCGUGGGGAGCAAACAGG
rnacentral:rRNA from 1 species